AUUGAACGCUGGCGGCAGGCCUAACACAUGCAAGUCGAACGAGUGGCGGACGGGUGAGUAAUGUCUGGGAAACUGCCUGAUGGAGGGGGAUAACUACUGGAAACGGUAGCUAAUACCGCAUACCAUCAGAUGUGCCCAGAUGGGAUUAGCUAGUUGGUGGGGUAACGGCUCACCAAGGCGACGAUCCCUAGCUGGUCUGAGCGGAGUACAAGCCGCACUGGAACAGAGAAACGGUCCAGACUCCUACGCGAGGGAGCAGUGGGGAAUAUUGCACAAUGGGGGCAAGCCUGAGGCAGCCAUGCCGCGUGUAUGAAGAAGGCCUUCGGGUUGUAAAGUACUUUCAGCGGGGAGGCGUUACCCGCAGAAGAAGCACCGGCUAACUCCGUGCCAGCCGCCGCGGUAAUUC
rnacentral:rRNA from 1 species